GUUAGUGAUGCUCUUAUUCAAGUGGUUUUGGUUUGGCUGCCUCUGACACUUUAUUCCAUGUUGCCUAAUAGUUUUAAAAGCCCCUAUUUUAUAGUCAGUGCAUCUUUCUGUGGGUCCCCAGAGAAGGGAAGACUGUGAGAUCAUAAUGCCUGGUUAUGGCAAAAAGACCGCAAUUCCCACCAGAGAGCAAAAAGGAAGUAAAGCUACCAUUGUUGAUCUGAAACUAAAUGGAUUCUUGUCCGUUGUGAGGAGCAGCAGCCUACAAAGCACACUGAAUGCCAAAUGUGUUGCACCAGGGCUACAGACACACCCAGAUGUUUUUAAUCUAUGCAAAAUAAUGAUGGAUACUUGCUACCUUCUUCAACUAAUUUUCAAGAUGUAUUUAUAUAAAAUAAAAGAGUCUUUUAAAGCACAACUUUUUUCAAAUGUAUUUGUUACUGCACCUUUUGCCCUGGAAAAUUAUUUUUCUAUUUUUAUUUUUAUUUUUUGAGACAGGGUCUCACUCUGUCACCCAGGUUGGAGUGCAGUGGUGUGAUCACAGAUCACUGCAGCCUCGACCCCCACAGGCUCAAGUGAUCCUCCCACCUCAGGCCCCUGAGUAGCUGGGACUACAGGCAUGCACCACUAUACCAGCUGAUUUUUAAAACUUUUUGUAGAGACAGAAUCUCACUACAUUGCCCAAGCUAGUCUCAAACUUCUGGUCUCGAGCCACCCUCCCACCUCAGCCUCCCAAUGUGCUGGGAUUACAGGCAUACGCCACCACACCCAGCCUUAUUAUUUUGCUCUUUAGAGAUAAGAUAUCCAAACUUCAAAAAUAUUGUUAAUUUGGUACAAGUUAAAUCUCAGAAAUUUUGGAAACAAUCGCCUUCUGUAAUAUAUGUAAAAUAUUAUACACAGUGUCUGGCAUACAGUUAGUGCUAAAUAAAAGUUUUUC
rnacentral:lncRNA from 10 species